UGCUGCUGAUCCGGAUCAAAAGCGAGGCUGAAUACCUGUUUCUCCAUUCUACACUCCCUCCGGGAACCUGGAAGCUCAGCAGGAGAUGAAGUGGCUGGAGGCGUGUGAGUCCUGCACUUGAUAGAGGCGGAUUCUGUCAAGCCUUACCUGGAUGGGGGCUGACCAUCAAACCUACUUAGAAAUCAGACCUUGAAUAGGCUGAAUAUGAUCCCGGAAGGAGGCAGCACCAGCAGGAACCGGGCGUCGUCCACUCACAGUCAUUCCCCGGGGCUCCCUGCCUCCUUCUUUCUCUUUGUCCUUGUUAUGUAAAAUGUGUUUCACUGUCAACCUGAUUUUUAUUCUAGAAGUAUAAGCCUAGUUUCUAUCAUUAAAUGCAUGACAUUGGUGUUGGUU